rnacentral:misc_RNA from 1 species
GAUGAAGAACGUAGCGAAAUGCGAUAAGUAAUGUGAAUUGCAGAAUUCAGUGAACCAUCGAAUCUUUGAACGCACAUUGCGCCCCCUGGUAUUCCGGGGGGCAUGCCUGUCCGAGCGUCAUUGCUGCCCUCAAGCACGGCUUGUGUGUUGGGCCUCCGUCCUCCUCCCGGGGGACGGGCCCGAAAGGCAGCGGCGGCACCGCGUCCGGUCCUCGAGCGUAUGGGGCUUCGUCACCCGCUCUUGUAGGCCCGGUCGGCGCUUGCCGACACAUCAAUCUUUUUUCCAGGUUGACCUCGGAUCAGGUAGGGAUACCCGCUGAACUUAAGCAUAUCAAUAAGCGGAGGA